UACGUAGGGGGCGAGCGUUGUCCGGAUUUAUUGGGCGUAAAGAGCGUGUAGGCGGCCAGAUAAGUCCGCUGUGAAAUCUCGAGGCUCAACUUCGAGCUGUCGGUGGAAACUGUCUGGCUAGAGUCCGGAAGAGGAGAAUGGAAUUCCUGGUGUAGCGGUGAAAUGCGCAGAUAUCAGGAGGAACACCGAUGGCGAAGGCAGGUCUCUGGGCAUUAACUGACGCUGAGGAGCGAAAGCAUGGGGAGCGAACAGG
rnacentral:rRNA from 1 species